rnacentral:rRNA from 1 species
AUUGAACGCUGGCGGAAUGCUUUACACAUGCAAGUCGAGCGGCAGCGCGGGGGCAACCCUGGCGGCGAGCGGCGAACGGGUGAGUAACACAUCGGAACGUACCCAGUAGUGGGGAUAACUAACCGAAAGGUUAGCUAAUACCGCAUACGCCCUGAGGGGGAAAGUGGGGGAUCGCAAGACCUCACGUUAUUGGAGCGGCCGAUGUCGGGUUAGCUAGUUGGUGAGGUAAAGGCUCACCAAGGCGACGAUCCGUAGCGGGUCUGAGAGGACGGCCCGCCACACUGGAACUGAGACACGGUCCAGACUCCUACGGGAGGCAGCAGUGGGGAAUUUUGGACAAUGGGGGCAACCCUGAUCCAGCCAUUCCGCGUGAGUGAAGAAGGCCUUCGGGUUGUAAAGCUCUUUCGGCAGGAACGAAACGGUCUAGGUUAAUACCCUGGGCUAAUGACGGUACCUGAAGAAGAAGCACCGGCUAACUACGUGCCAGCCGCCGCCGUAAUAC